rnacentral:rRNA from 1 species
UACGUAGGGUGCAAGCGUUGUCCGGAAUCAUUGGGCGUAAAGGGCGCGUAGGUGGCCCGGUCAGUUCGUGGUGAAAGCGCGGGGCUCAACCCUGCGUCGGCCAUGAAUACUGCCGCGGCUGGAGCACUGUAGAGGCAGGCGGAAUUCCGGGUGUAGUGGUGGAAUGCGUAGAGAUCCGGAGGAACACCAGCGGCGAAGGCGGCAUCCUGGACUGGUACUGACGCUCAGGAGCGAAAGCGUGGGGAGCGAUCCGG